rnacentral:rRNA from 1 species
AUUGAACGCUGGCGGCAGGCCUAACACAUGCAAGUCGAACGAGUGGCGGACGGGUGAGUAAUGUCUGGGAAACUGCCUGAUGGAGGGGGAGAAAUACUGGAAACGGUAGCUAAUACCGCAUACCAUCGGAUGUGCCCAGAUGGGAUUAGCUAGUAGGUGGGGGAAAGGCUCACCUAGGCGACGAUCCCUAGCUGGUCGUAGAGGAUGACACGUCAAACUGGAACGGAGACAGGGUCCAGACUCGUACGGGAGGCAGCAGUGGGGAAUAUUGCACAAUGGGCGCAUGCCUGAUGCAGCCAUGCCGCGUGUAUGAAGAAGGCCUUCGGUUUGUAAAGUACUUUCAGCGGGGAGGCGUUACCCGCAGAAGAAGCACCGGCUAACUCCGUGCCAGCCGCCGCGGUAAUAC